rnacentral:rRNA from 1 species
GUGAACGCUGGCGGUAGGCCUAACACAUGCAAGUCGCACGGCAGCACAGUAAGAGCUUGCUCUUACGGGUGGCGAGUGGCGGACGGGUGAGGAAUACAUCGGAAUCUACUUUUUCGUGGGGGAUAACGUAGGGAAACUUACGCUAAUACCGCAUACGACCUACGGGUGAAAGCAGGGGAUCUUCGGACCUUGCGCGAUUGAAUGAGCCGAUGUCGGAUUAGCUAGUUGGCGGGGUAAAGGCCCACCAAGGCGACGAUCCGUAGCUGGUCUGAGAGGAUGAUCAGCCACACUGGAACUGAGACACGGUCCAGACUCCUACGGGAGGCAGCAGUGGGGAAUAUUGGGCAAUGGGCGCAAGCCUGAUCCAGCCAUACCGCGUGGGUGAAGAAGGCCUUCGGGUUGUAAAGCCCUUUUGUUGGGAAAGAAAAGCAGCAGGUUAAUACCCCGCUGUUCUGACGGUACCCAAAGAAUAAGCACCGGCUAACUUCGUG